UUGAGUGCCUCCCAUCAG
rnacentral:misc_RNA from 1 species